rnacentral:rRNA from 1 species
UACAGAGGUCUCAAGCGUUGUUCGGAUUCAUUGGGCGUAAAGGGUGCGUAGGUGGCGCUGUAAGUCGGGUGUGAAAUUUCGGAGCUUAACUCCGAAACUGCAUUCGAUACUGCGGUGCUUGAGGACUGGAGAAGAGACUGGAAUUCAUGGUGUAGCAGUGAAAUGCGUAGAGAUCAUGAGGAAGACUAGUGGCGAAGGCGGGUCUCUGGACAGUUCCUGACACUGAGGCACGAAGGCCAGGGGAGCAAACGGG